AUGCCGCCGCUGCCGCCCGCCAGCCCCCGCGGGCUCUUGUGGCUGCUGGGGCUGGGCCUCUGCGGGGCGGCGGCUGCCCUGAUGGCGGUGGCCCUGGCCCGGACUUAUGGCACCCGCCGGCCCCCGACGGCGGAGGCCCCUGCUGCGCUUCGGAAGCCGCGCCUGGCUGGGCCUGCCUUCUCUGCCCAGGAGAGGCAGGAGCUCAAGGAAGCCCUCCGAGGUGCUAUCAGAAUACAAACAGUCUCCUUCUCUGAAGAUGAUCAGAAUAUAACAGCCCUGGCAGAAUUUGAGCCAUAUAUUCGCAAAGCCUUUCCUGGAGUGUUUUCUGCAACAUUCAUUCAUCAUGAAGUUAUUGGAGGAUAUAGUCACCUGUUUACCAUCCAAGGGUCUAACUCUCAACUGCAGCCCUACAUGUUGCUUGCACAUAUAGAUGUAGUUCCAGCUUCCCCUGAAGGCUGGGAUGUUAGUGACCCUUUCUCUGCUGAGGAGCAUAAUGGGUUCAUAUAUGGAAGAGGAACACUGGAUAACAAAAACUCUGUCAUGGGGAUUCUACAUGCACUGGAAUUCUUACUGAGACGAAAUUACCGGCCACAAAGAAGUUUCUAUAUUGGCCUUGGGCAUGAUGAAGAGAUAGGUGGUCAAAAAGGAGCAAAAAAGAUUGUGGCUGAGCUGGAAUCUAGAGGGUUAAAACUUGCUUUCCUGCUUGAUGAGGGAAGCUUCAUCUAUGAUGGGAUCGUCACAGGAAUAGAGAAACCUGUAGCUCUAAUAGCCAUCACAGAAAAGGGUGCAAUUACAGCACAUUUCGGUGUGACGUCAGUGCCAGGCCAUUCUUCUGCACCACCUAAGAGGACAAGCAUUGGUAUUCUUUCUGAAGCAAUGUCCAGGCUGGAGCAGAAUCCCAUGCCAAAUAUGUUUGGUCAUGGAGCUGAACUCAAGAUGUUUGAGGAAUUGGCACCAGAUGUUCCCUCUCAAUGUUAUCAUGUCAAAUUUGUGGCUGUUUGCACCUCUAGUUGGCAGUUAAGGGAUGAAGCAAACAGCCAAGAAGGAGCAGCAUCUGGAGCACAAUUGGGCUGGGACUGUGGCAACUGCAUGGCCCACUCCCUGCAUUCCCAAACUACACCACCCAAGAGCUGGAUUAAAACUGCUCCUUUUUAAGACCAGAGGGCUUCGUCGAAGCACUUCCAGCCUAUUUGGGGCCGUACGUCAUGUAAAAACUACACCCCCAAAGCAUCCAGAAGCUGCUUCGUUUAGAUUUCUUGAGCAACAACCCACCACAAAUGCUUUAGUUCGAACCACUACUGCAAUCACUAUGUUUCAUGGAGGAGUCAAG